UUCAACUAAAACCGUGUAAAUCCGAUUUUAAAAUUGUAUAUAAAGUUAAAAAAAAUAUAUCAACAAAGGGUGUGCUCUCCUAAUGAUCUGCAGUGCAUAAAUUAAUUAUAUUUUUAGAAAAAUUUCGGAUAUGC